UUCACUGAGGAUUAAUUUAAAGAAAGCCAUUCCCUCUGUUGGCGGGAAACAGGGAAAUUCUGUACCUUGAAAGUCUAUUUAGAUUUCUAGGUGAACCAUCAUAUAUGUCCACUACAUAAUUCUUACUUUUUUUACUUUUUAAAAAAGGAUAAUUUAUAUUCCAGUGACAAGUUUGGGAAAGGCCAAGGCAAGCAAUAGCGUUGAACAUUACGUAGCGUUUACUUAGACCUUGCAGACAUCUGUGCAAUAUCCACCACUGAACACGUGGGGUCGUACUCAAGUCUCUCUGGCCCCUGGUAAUAUGACUCCCUUCCUUUAUUUGCAUGAAUCGCUUGGAUUGGGUGUCAGGUUUUUAAAACGUCAAUGUUUACGUCAAAUUGUUGUCAACCAAUCAGCAUUCUACUUUGGCGUGAUUGGUUUCUACUGUAGGUGUCAAUCAUCCAAAAUUUGCAUACUACUCCGCAGGCCGCCAGGAGCUUGUCAGUCGGCUGUGGCAGCUGGAAGAGAAGGAAUCGGACGGAGAAAAAUGAAAAAUCACUUUGCUUUAGCAAAGCUAAAGAAAAGGGAACCGAACAAGGCUAAGAGAGUGCUGAGAGGAGGUGGGAGAGACGUGAAUGCUGCAGACGAAGGCACGGCUGGGGUGCGAGGCGGAUUUAGUGUGUGCUUUACAAGGAAUGCACGAAUCAACACAGCGCUCAAAUUAAAUCUCUUCUUGAGGGGCUUAAGUAUCUUCUUAGGGUAAAGUAAAGCAUGUUUUCUACUUCUCUCUACUUCCUCUCCAGUUAGCCAGUUGCUAGAAAACCCCCUCAGUAAAAAAAAAAAAAAAAAAAUCCCUUCAGACUGACUCCAGCGUGGGUGAGAGCGCGGUCUGUGACCACCAUCCCUUCUUACUCAGCGGAAAACGUCCGCAAGAACUACGCCUCACGGCGCUGACGGGAGCGGCCUCAGCUCCAGCACUCACAGCCACUACCGUCACCGUCGCCCCGCCACCACUACCUUCGCUCCCCCAACGCCGUGACACACUCUCACUCUCUCACACACACACACACACACACACACACACACACGUGCGCGCGCGCGAACACUUCUCCCUGUUGUCAAUCAUAAAAGCGCACCAUAGGGCGCAUGCGCGCUGGAGGACUCCAGCACCCCCCCCCACCGACCCUGCGCCCAGUUUUACGUCACCCCCCGAUGGACCAAUAAGAGAGCAGAUUCAGGGGCGGGCCACAAGGAAGUAGCCAAUGAGAGCGCGGUUGGAAGCCAAGGCUAGAGAGGAGUAAAUCCUUCUGUCGUCCGCGUUCAGCAGCCCCCGCGAUGAUUUAUGCGUCCUUUUUAUUAUUUGUAACACUUUGAGAAGUUAUUAAAAGGAAGAUCUACUGCUUCCUCCUUUUGGGGUGGAACUGGAUGGCAAUAUUUGUCACUGGCCCUUAUUAGAGAAGAGUGUGGCGAGGUGCAAGGCGGUUGGACGCUGGGUUUGUUUGUGUGGGUCCUGUUUUUUAUUACAAGACACAUUAUCCUUUUCAUUACAAGCUGUAGACAGGGCCAGCUUCGAAGGUCUUCGUGGCCGAGUGAUCUUGGAUCAUUCAGGGAGCUGAAACCUGAUGCCUUCUGACUUUCGCGUCCGUACUCUUGGCGUUGGGAAGCGCCUCUCGGGAAGGUGUUGCAACCUUUGGUUGUACCAUCACUCAUACCCCUACUCCCCGCCUUAACACGGAGUAAACGUCGACUUUUUUCCGCUUGGAUGCUCAUUAAGAGUUAGUUGACUUUGUAGCGGAUGCAAUAAAACUUGGAUGGUUUCAAGACCCAAAACAAUCCUGGUUUCUGUUUUCCUCUCCCCAACCACACCCCCAAGGAAAUUGCCUUUUCAGCAGGCGCCUUCGGGAAAGAACCGCAGGAGACAGAUUCCCUUUAGAGACCUGCAUGGGGAGGAGGGGGAUAUAGAAAUAAAGAGGGCCAAGGUAAGAGUACACAGCGGCCAGAGACGACUUUCAUGUGUGGAUUUGAGUUUUCUGGCCAACUAGGGGUGAAGUCACAAACCCCCCGGAACCUGGUGGUUGCGCUGAAAAGUUUGCUCUCACCUGCAGAGUUACUCCACCCUAGGGAGCUUCUGCUCUGCCGGGAAGGUCCAAUCUCCGAGGGCGGAGUAAGUGUAGUGAUUGGACAGGAAGUAGGAAACAGCCAAGGAAAAGAAAGGAUACAAAUUUUCAACUCUCGACCUCCAAACCGAAAUCGCACUUUCAAACGUAAAACACAAUUCCAAGAAGACGGAUGUAGAGAGUAUGAUGCCUCUGUUCAAUAGGUCACAGUCAGGAACUUCAGUCUCUGGUGUCCAGAUAUUUUUAUUUGAAAUUAAGAAACUCGACGCAGAAGGGGUUGCUUAAGGAUAAAGUCGGGUGAUGAGAAACCGAAAGAGGAGGAGGAGAGGGGUAGAAGAAACCAAGAAGCGUUUGCUGAUGGGAAAAAAAAAACCGUGAACUUCAAAGCUCAGGCCCAAUCCCCCUCAGGUUAAUUUCUGCUUCCUAAAAAGUUUGAUCAGGGUCAUAAAUCACUCGGUCCACGCUUGCCGGUCCUGCUUGUUCCCCAAGGUUCUCUCCCCAUAGCCCACUGCAAGGGCGCAGGGUGAGUUUCCAGUCGGCGACCUUCUGAGGCCUCCCGGGGCAGGAGGGCUCCUGGGGCUGAGUGGGCGCACGGAAGCGCUAGAAUCCGUGUGCAGGGAAAGCGGGGGGUGGGGAAGGGUCUAGGGAAGGUGCUGGGAGUGGCGCGGGCCGGACUGUGGAGAGGUCCCGUGCAGAUGCAGUUUCCAUUCCGCUCGACCUUAAAAAAAAAAACACUCCAAAUGUGUCUGGCGUGCUGUUUGAAGAAGGUUACAGCGUGUUUAGAGAUUUGCAAAGCUCUGCCGAGCAAUAAAGAUUAGAAAGGCCUGCCUGAGAUUUGUCAAAUGACUUCCGGUAGCAGAGCCCCCAGUAAACCGGGCGGGCCCGGCAGCCUCUGAUCUCGACUCGGUCGGGCCUAUAACUCCAGGCUGUGAGGCGCGGAAGUGGUAUGGCUCUACUAGGCUCACUGCGAGGAGGGUGGGG
ensembl:lncRNA